rnacentral:rRNA from 1 species
AUAUUCUGUAGCAAGGUUAACCGUAUAGGGGAGCCGGAGGGAAACCGAGUCUUAACCGGGCGUUAAGUUGCAGGGUAUAGACCCGAAACCCGGUGAUCUAGCCAUGGGCAGGUUGAAGGUUGGGUAACACUAACUGGAGGACCGAACCGACUAAUGUUGAAAAAUUAGCGGAUGACCUGUGGCUGGGGGUGAAAGGCCAAUCAAACCGGGAGAUAGCUGGUUCUCCCCGAAAGCUAUUUAGGUAGCGCCUCGUGAAUUCAUCUCCGGGGGUAGAGCACUGUUUCGGCUAGGGGGCCAUCCCGGCUUACCAACCCGAUGCAAACUGCGAAUACCGGAGAAUGUUAUCACGGGAGACACACGGCGGGUGCUAACGUCCGUCGUGAAGAGGGAAACAACCCAGACCGCCAGCUAAGGUCCCAAAGUCAUGGUUAAGUGGGAAACGAUGUGGGAAGGCCCAGACAGCCAGGAUGUUGGCUUAGAAGCAGCCAUCAUUUAAAGAAAGCGUAAUAGCUCACUGGUCGAGUCGGCCUGCGCGGAAGAUGUAACGGGGCUAAACCAU